CCUACGGGUGGCAGCAGUGGGGAAUUUUGCGCAAUGCUCGCAAGAGUGACGCAGCGACGCCGCGUGAAUGACGAAGGCCUUCGGGUCGUAAAGCUCUUUCGACAGGGAAGAAAAUGCCUAUAAGUAACUGUGUAUGUAUUGACGGUACCUGUAUAAGCAGCCUCGGCCAACUCCGUGCAAGCAGCCGCGGUAAUACGGAGGGGGCGAGCGUUGUUCGGAGUGACUGGGCGUAAAGGGCACGUAGGCGGUGUUGUAAGUCAUUAGUCAAAGACUAGAGCUCAACUUUAGUAAGGCUAGUGAUACUAGAAGACUAGAGUAUCAGAGAGGAAUGCAGAAUUCGUGGUGGAGCGGUGAAAUGCGUAGAUAUCAGGAGGAAUACCGUUAGCGAAGGCAGCAAUCUGGCUGGAAACUGACGCUGAGGUGCGAAAGCGUGGGUAGCAAACAGGAUUAGAUACCCGGGUAGUC
rnacentral:rRNA from 1 species